rnacentral:tRNA from 1 species
GCCCUCGUAGCUCAGAUGGCAGAGCGUGCCCUUGGUAAGGGCAAGGUCCUGAGUUCAAUUCUCAGCGAGGGCUCCA